UACGGGGGGGGCAAGCGUUGUUCGGAAUUACUGGGCGUAAAGGGCUCGUAGGCGGCCAACUAAGUCAGACGUGAAAUCCCUCGGCUUAACCGGGGAACUGCGUCUGAUACUGGAUGGCUUGAGUUUGGGAGAGGGAUGCGGAAUUCCAGGUGUAGCGGUGAAAUGCGUAGAUAUCUGGAGGAACACCGGUGGCGAAGGCGGCAUCCUGGACCAACACUGACGCUGAGGAGCGAAAGCCAGGGGAGCAAACGGGAUUAGAUACCCCGGUAGUCCUGGCCCUAAACGAUGAAUGCUUGGUGUGACGGGUAUCGAUCCCUGUCGUGCCGAAGCUAACGCAUUAAGCAUUCCGCCUGGGGACUACGGCCGCAAGGUUA
rnacentral:rRNA from 1 species